GAUGUUGACUUCCCAAGUGCCUGAAUAAUGAAUGUGGCAAUAGGCAUGGAUAUCCUGUUUUAGAUGCUACUAAGAAAAUGAUUUUAUGAUCUUUCAUUUUUUAUAUAUUUAAUAUAUUAUUUUGAGCCAUUCUAUGAAAGAAAAUCCUUUAAAAUUCUUUAUUAGUAUUUAAACUAUCUGUUGAUUUGUUACAAAGUAUUAUGAAUAAUUUGAUCGUAGCUAAAUAAUUAUUUUGUAUUAUUAUUCACGGUUACGCAUAUCAGCAAAGCAAAUUCAUUCAAGUAGGAUUUGAUUUGGGGUGAUAGGUUGUGUUUAAUUUGAUAAUUUAGCUUUUUUGAUUUUGUUGACAGACUGAAGAAGUUUUUACACGGGGCCUGGAAAUAGUAUUCCAUAAAAAAAUGAAUUUGGAGAUCCAUUAGUAACAAGAGAGCCUAAGCAUGGCUAAAAGCCGCUAAUUUUAUGUUUGAUUGUUCUGGAUUAGAUAUUCACUUGCUUUUUGAGAGAGAGUAGAAAGUUUUGUCAUACUAUAAUAUUGCAUGUUUUUAUAUAUAUGGUUGUUUAUUCACGUCA